rnacentral:rRNA from 1 species
UACGUAGGGUGCGAGCGUUAAUCGGAAUUACUGGGCGUAAAGCGCGCGCAGGCGGUCCUUUAAGUCUGAUGUGAAAGCCCACGGCUCAACCGUGGAGGGUCAUUGGAAACUGGGGGACUUGAGUGCAGAAGAGGAAAGUGGAAUUCCAGGUGUAGCGGUGAAAUGCGUAGAUAUCUGGAGGAACACCGGUGGCGAAGGCGGCAUCCUGGACCGGUAUUGACGCUGAGGCGCGAAAGCCAGGGGAGCAAACGGG